GUCAAAGAAAGUUCUAUUUACGUUCGUUGAAACAUGUCAAACGUUGUAUAGCAUCAAUCUUUAGUGCCUUUUUCACUUAGAACUUAAAUAAUAUUCCAACCGGAUGUUUCCAAUGUCUUGAAAAACGUUUUGGAACACAGCUAACUUUCACAUGAACGCACGCCAUUGAAGUCAUGUCCUUUCCUGAGUCAACAACUUACAACUUCCUUUGUUCGCUCUGUGUUCACCAUAGAAGCCUCAAACAACUUUCUAAAGACUGUUGACAUCUAGUGGAAGCCUUAGGAAGUGCAAAAUGAACCCUAAGUCACUGUGUGUUGGACAGGCAAUGACUUAAAAAGACUACAUGCAUCAGAUUUCCCACUUCCUGGUUGUAUUUUUCUCAGGUUUUUGCCUGCCAUACGAGUUCUAUACUAAUGAUAUGCAUAUUCUAGUUUCUGGGCCAGAGUAGUAACCAGAUUAAUUUGGGCAUGUUUUUCCUCCGGCCGUGAAAAUACUGCCCCCUAGCCCAGACAGGUUAAUUUUACUCAGAGAUGUGGGCUACCUUCUGAUUCUGGGCAGACAGCCGAAGUUAAGUUGUCAGGAGGUUGAUUACAGCGACACCCAAUCAGAAUUCAGCCUCUGCCUGUCAUGAAUUGAAUUAUUUUUGCCUAGCAACACUCUCAUUGGCUAGAAAUGACUAGUUACAAGGAAAACAAAACCUAACACUGAAUAACGGAUCUCACAGUCACAGCAGAGGACAACAAUUAACAGAUCAGUACAACUGCACUAAAAGCCACUGUAACAGAGAUGGAAUGAGGAAGAGACCCUGUUGCUGUUGACACUGUCUGCAAGCCUUCACUGGUCAAUGCCAAGUUUCAGGGCAGCUCUCUGACCUGAGGAUAGUUCUGGUGGGGAAGACUGGAUCAGGGAAGAGUUCAACAGGAAACACCAUCAUUGGUAAAAAAAAUGUUUAAAGUGGAGGCUUCUCCAGUGUCUUACUGCAACGUGUGAGAAACAGAGUGGAGUGGUGGAUGGGAGGAAGAUUGAGGUCAUCAACACUAUGACAAACAACUGUCUAAAGAAGAGAUGAAAAAGUGAGAUAGAAAAGGCCAUCUACAUGUCAGUCCCAGGACCCCACGCCUUCCUGCUGGUGAUCAGACUGGGGAGGUUCACAGAGGAGGAGAGGAACACUGUGAAGUGGAUCCAGGAGAACUUUGGAGAAGAAGCAUCAAAGUACACCAUCUUACUGUUCACACAUGGAGAUCAGUGGAGGAGUUUCUGAAACAGAGCCCAGAGCUACGGAGGCGUGUCACCAGCUGUGGGGUUACAGAGCUGCUGGAGAAGAGAGGAGGUGGAGGACAAUGGAGGAUAACACUACACCAGUGCUGCCUAUGAAGAGGCUCAGAGAAAGAUCAGAGAGGAGAUUGUUUUACUGUAAACUGGCAGCGUACGGCAGUCUAGCCACAACAGGACUAGGGAUAUUUUAUGCUUCUAGCCACCAGUAUUGGUGGCAGCAGGUGUAGCUGCAGGCUUCAGCCAA